ACUUAAAUUGAAGAGUUUGAUCAUGGCUCAGAUUGAACGCUGGCGGCAGGCCUAACACAUGCAAGUCGAGCGGUAGCACAGAGGAGCUUGCUCCUCGGGUGACGAGCGGCGGACGGGUGAGUAAUGUCUGGGAAACUGCCUGAUGGAGGGGGAUAACUACUGGAAACGGUAGCUAAUACCGCAUAACGUCGCAAGACCAAAGAGGGGGACCUUCGGGCCUCUUGCCAUCAGAUGUGCCCAGAUGGGAUUAGCUAGUAGGUGGGGUAACGGCUCACCUAGGCGACGAUCCCUAGCUGGUCUGAGAGGAUGACCAGCCACACUGGAACUGAGACACGGUCCAGACUCCUACGGGAGGCAGCAGUGGGGAAUAUUGCACAAUGGGCGCAAGCCUGAUGCAGCCAUGCCGCGUGUAUGAAGAAGGCCUUCGGGUUGUAAAGUACUUUCAGCGGGGAGGAAGGUGUUGAGGCUAAUAACCUCAGCAAUUGACGUUACCCGCAGAAGAAGCACCGGCUAACUCCGUGCCAGCAGCCGCGGUAAUACGGAGGGUGCAAGCGUUAAUCGGAAUUACUGGGCGUAAAGCGCACGCAGGCGGUCUGUCAAGUCGGAUGUGAAAUCCCCGGGCUCAACCUGGGAACUGCAUUCGAAACUGGCAGGCUAGAGUCUUGUAGAGGGGGGUAGAAUUCCAGGUGUAGCGGUGAAAUGCGUAGAGAUCUGGAGGAAUACCGGUGGCGAAGGCGGCCCCCUGGACAAAGACUGACGCUCAGGUGCGAAAGCGUGGGGAGCAAACAGGAUUAGAUACCCUGGUAGUCCACGCCGUAAACGAUGUCGACUUGGAGGUUGUGCCCUUGAGGCGUGGCUUCCGGAGCUAACGCGUUAAGUCGACCGCCUGGGGAGUACGGCCGCAAGGUUAAAACUCAAAUGAAUUGACGGGGGCCCGCACAAGCGGUGGAGCAUGUGGUUUAAUUCGAUGCAACGCGAAGAACCUUACCUACUCUUGACAUCCAGAGAACUUUCCAGAGAUGGAUUGGUGCCUUCGGGAACUCUGAGACAGGUGCUGCAUGGCUGUCGUCAGCUCGUGUUGUGAAAUGUUGGGUUAAGUCCCGCAACGAGCGCAACCCUUAUCCUUUGUUGCCAGCGGUUAGGCCGGGAACUCAAAGGAGACUGCCAGUGAUAAACUGGAGGAAGGUGGGGAUGACGUCAAGUCAUCAUGGCCCUUACGAGUAGGGCUACACACGUGCUACAAUGGCGCAUACAAAGAGAAGCGACCUCGCGAGAGCAAGCGGACCUCAUAAAGUGCGUCGUAGUCCGGAUUGGAGUCUGCAACUCGACUCCAUGAAGUCGGAAUCGCUAGUAAUCGUAGAUCAGAAUGCUACGGUGAAUACGUUCCCGGGCCUUGUACACACCGCCCGUCACACCAUGGGAGUGGGUUGCAAAAGAAGUAGGUAGCUUAACCUUCGGGAGGGCGCUUACCACUUUGUGAUUCAUGACUGGGGUGAAGUCGUAACAAGGUAACCGUAGGGGAACCUGCGGUUGGAUCACCUCCUUACCUUAAAGAA
rnacentral:rRNA from 2 species